GAUUUCUGGCUUGAUGCGGCUGACCCGCCACGGUUACGUGUGUGAGUGUUGGUUCGUGUCUGCCAUCCUUCUAGAGAACGGUUCGUUCCUUUCUUCUUCAUUGAAGAGAGGGCGAAAUCACGCAAUCUAGAUCUUUUACUUUGAAAAAAUUAGAGUGUUUAAAGCAGGCGUUUUGCUAUGAAUACAUUAGCAUGGAAUAAUAAUAUAGGACUAUUGGUUCUAUUUUGUUGGUUUCUAGGACUGAAGUAAUGAUUGAUAGGGAUAGUUGGGGGUGCUAGUAUUCAGUGGCCAGAGGUGAAAUUCUCGGAUUCACUGAAGACUAACUUAUGCGAAAGCAUU
rnacentral:rRNA from 1 species